rnacentral:rRNA from 1 species
AGGAGGUUUGAUCCUGGCUCAGAUUGAACGCUGGCGGCAUGCCUAACACAUGCAAGUCGAACGGUAACGACGGGAGCUUGCUCCCGGGCGACGAGUGGCGGACGGGUGAGUAAUACUUAGGAAUCUGCCCAGUAGUGGGGGACAACUCGAGGAAACUCGAGCUAAUACCGCAUACGCCCUACGGGGGAAAGCGGAGGAUCUUUCGGGACUUCGCGCUAUUGGAUGAGCCUAAGUCGGAUUAGCUUGUUGGUGGGGUAAAGGCCUACCAAGGCAACGAUCUGUAGCUGGUCUGAGAGGACGAUCAGCCACACUGGGACUGAGACACGGCCCAGACUCCUACGGGAGGCAGCAGUGGGGAAUAUUGGACAAUGGGGGCAACCCUGAUCCAGCAAUGCCGCGUGUGUGAAGAAGGCCUGCGGGUUGUAAAGCACUUUCAGUAGAGAAGAAAUGCCCAUGGUUAAUACCCGUGGGUCUUGACGUAACCUACAGAAGAAGCACCGGCUAACUCCGUGCCAGCAGCCGCGGUAAUACGGAGGGUGCGAGCGUUAAUCGGAAUUACUGGGCGUAAAGCGCGCGUAGGCGGUUUGGUCAGUCGGAUGUGAAAGCCCUAGGCUCAACCUGGGAAUGGCAUUCGAUACUGCCUGACUAGAGUAUGGUAGAGGGAAGUGGAAUUUCCGGUGUAGCGGUGAAAUGCGUAGA